rnacentral:snRNA from 1 species
GUUUUGUCUGUACCUCUUCUAUAACUGGAAUGAUACUAAGAUGAUUACUAUGGCCCCUGUGUGAGAAUGACAUGAACAGUCACAAAGUGUUACAUAUCUUU